GUUCACAUUCUAUUGAAUCGGUUUUGCAUAAGCUGUUUCUUGCUAGCCCAUCAGUCUUGUGUUUUUCUUGGCACUUUUUGUUUUUAGAGUAUAUUGGUUAUGUGUAGUGAAGUAUAUUGUUUAUCCUGAAAAUCACAUUUGUCAAAGCACUAUUCAGGUUAUCAAGUGCUUCACAUUCGGGAACAAAGGAACUCUUUCUACAACUUUCUCAUGACUGCCAAGUUUGUCAAUAGUUCAUUUCCUUCUUUCGUUUUAUUUCAGUGUACUUCUUUCAAACAAGAAUCUGUGUGACUACUUCUAUUUUUAGAAGCGCUUGGAUAAGCUUAUCAUUAUCG
rnacentral:misc_RNA from 1 species